rnacentral:rRNA from 1 species
UACGUAGGGUGCAGGCGUUAAUCGGAAUUACUGGGCGUAAAGCGUGCGCAGGCGGUUUGCUAAGACAGGUGUGAAAUCCCCGGGCUUAACCUGGGAACUGCGCUUGUAACUGGCAAGCUAGAGUGUGGCAGAGGGGGGUGGAAUUCCACGUGUAGCAGUGAAAUGCGUAGAGAUGUGGAGGAACACCGAUGGCGAAGGCAGCCCCUGGGCUAACACUGACGCUCGAUGC